rfam:Gossypium hirsutum cultivar TM-1 chromosome 15, whole genome shotgun sequence
ACUCCAUGAUGAGGGCACUUUCGUAAUAACUCUUUGUACCUUUCCCAUGCCUCAUAUAAGGACUCAUCAUCCAUUUGUCGAGUAGUGAUCUCGUUCCUUAACUU